CACGUCCUCUUCUCCAGGUCGCCCCCCUCAAUCAGUCCCUCUUAAUCAGGUUGGGCCAGGACAGGGAUCACUUAGCCUGGUGGCUCUCCCACCCUGUCACAACCCCUCCCAGGACGGGCCAAUCUCCACCUCCAGGCGUAGAUUACCUGUCUUCGCAUCUUAUCCGUGCCAGCUCGGAUCAGACCUCUCUUCAGACAUAUUUAGGCCCCGCCCUCCAGCCUAAACAAACCCUGCCUUCACUUCAAGCCCCGCCCCCUGGGUCUCCUGUCCUACCUGGAGCUGAAAGAGACUUCUCAGCCUCUGAUCUUUCCCCCUUGCCCCUGACCCCUACAGGGCAUUGCAGUCGAAUCCAGAGGGUGGUCUUUCAAGUAGUGAGGGUCACAGGCUGAAAAAUAUGGAGCGCCGCCUGACUGACAUGGAGCAUACUCAGGCCCAGCUGAGGGAUGCUGUUCAGAACCUACAAUUUCUUCCAAAGAUACCAGAGUCACGGAGUCAGCCCCUGCCUCUCAAAGCACCUUGCGUCAAUGGAGAUACCACCUGAGCUGCCCAUUCUCUAUCCCAUGUGGUCUGGGAGCAGAGAGCCGACUUAGGAGGGUAUCUGACCCUGCCUUUGGCCCUAUGUGACCUACAGUGAGGAGUGGCACUGUAGGUGCCAACCAACCACUCUGGCACUAUGAGGUUGCCCAGUAAAAUCUUGAUUUCAGUAAAAUCAGUGGUUUGUUUGUCCCUAAGGUUUGCUAAUCACGGAGUAGCCCCUCACCCCCAUUCAAUUCUCCCAAAUUCUUUCCGAAUUUGAGGUCUCCUGGAAGGGAAAUGUAAGCAGAUUCUCACCAGCUAUGUGACCUUAGGCCAUCACUCUAGAAGCCUUUAUUUCAUUAUCUAUAAAAUGGAUCUGAAAUUUUCCUACACUGUGGCAGACCCCUAAAAGUAUUCAAAAAAAGGUAUUCAUCAUUGGUACAGGCAGUACCUGUUUCUCAAGGGAGCAUGGGUCCUACAAACUCAUUUAUCCCAUACCAUCCUCACCUAAUCCUCAGGCUCCAGAUAAGAGAAUUUUCCUAAACCCCAAAUCCCAAACCAGCUCCCUCAUGGCAUGGAUAGCGUAGUCUGAGAGGCAGAUGAAGGAAGGGUAAGAAAAUGUGAAGUUCUGUGGGUGAAUGGUGAGUAAAUUAGUAGGCCUUUAAAUCAUGGGUAAGGGGUAGAGUGGAACAUUAGGCAGGUGAAUAGGUUACUAUUUGUUGGAUGUUUGACCUAUAGAUGACUAGUUAGGUAGGCAGGUAACCAGGAUGGAUAUGUCUACUUAGAAAAGACCUGGCUCAUAGUAGGAAAUAAAUAUUUGAAUUAAUUAAGUGAUUA